GCCGGGGCUUCUUCUGCGAGUAACGUCAUUAUCCUCCUCGCUGAAAGAGCUUUACAACCCUAAGGCCUUCAUCGCUCACGCGGCAUGGCUGGAUCAGGGUUGCCCCCAUUGUCCAAUGUUCCCC
rnacentral:rRNA from 1 species